rnacentral:rRNA from 1 species
CAGCAAACCGCAUUAAGCACUCCGCCUGGGGAGGGCGGUCGCAAGAUUGAAACUCAAAGGGAAUUGACGGGGGCCCGCACAAGCCGGUGGAGCAUGUGGUUUAAUUUCGAAGCAACGCGAAGAACCUUACCAGGUCUUGACAUCCUCUGACAACCCUAGAGAUAGGGCUUCCCCUUCGGGGGCAGAGUGACAGGUGGUGCAUGGUUGUCGUCAGCUCGUGUCGUGAGAUGUUGGGUUAAGUCCCGCAACGAGCGCAACCCUUGAUCUUAGUUGCCAGCAUUCAGUUGGGCACUCUAAGGUGACUGCCGGUGACAAACCGGAGGAAGGUGGGGAUGACGUCAAAUCAUCAUGCCCCUUAUGACCUGGGCUACACACGUGCUACAAUGGGCAGAACAAAGGGCAGCGAAGCCGCGAGGCUAAGCCAAUCCCACAAAUCUGUUCUCAGUUCGGAUCGCAGUCUGCAACUCGACUGCGUGAAGCUGGAAUCGCUAGUAAUCGCGGAUCAGCAUGCCGCGGUGAAUACGUUCCCGGGCCUUGUACACACCGCCCGUCACAAGCACGAGAGUUUGUAACACCCGAAGUCGGUGAGGUAA